GCAGCGUCGGCGAUUGCAGUGGCUGUGGGUCAGGUUCGAAGAGUUCAGCUCCUUGAUGUGCAGUGGGACUCCGAAUGCACCCCGGAGACUGUUCCUAUCCGCCUCAUAAGGCGAUAAACCUAUUGCCUCCUGCAGAAGGACGAGCCCAAACGGCGGAGGGAAGUUUCUCAGCCCCUUCGCCCGCCCGCUCAUUCAAUGACUGACUAACUGAUCGUCCCCUCUCCGGGCGGGCGCGCACCGCAAACACGCUCACGCGCGGCGGCCGUUUAAAUUAACGGUCAGCUGGUGCUGCGCGCGCUCGGCUGGCCGAAGCUUGGGGGCCGGAGCCUUCCUUGAGCAACCCCUCCCACCGCCCCCCCCGCCCAACCUCCCCCGCGAUCCCAAUGCGACGCGGAGUCGGAAAAGGCUGGGAGGGAGAGCACAGAAUGUGAAAAAUAAAGGAAAGAGAAGGUGCCAACCGUCACCGGGGCUGACAACAGCAACGACCACGGACACCCACUGCCCCCCAGCCCAUCCUCCAUGCCCACUAAGACCCACAUUAUGGUUGCAGAUAUGUGUGGUGUUACUCUCUGGUGCCCCGUGAGGAGUUUGUGUGCAGCAGACUGCUGAAGCCACGAAUGGAUGUUCCAGGAUUUCGCACUGCAGCACAAAACCACUGGAAACACAUUUGACUGCAUUAGAAACAUGGCAGACUUGUUUGGGACCAGCAUGCAAAGCAGAAAAAAUUGCUGAGUGUUUUCAGAGUUAACGCCCAGCGGUUUUCAAUAUGUUUUACAGUACAAGGUCAGGCCAUUGUAAGUUACAAAUGAAUUGAAAAAUAAAGAUAUUUCUCACAUA